CUGGAAGGACUGCCUCAUGGGACCUGCAGAUCAGAAUUAUGCUAACUAGGCUGUUGAGUGCCAGUUUGCCUGCCUGUGACGCCUCACUGUAAAAAUCCUGCCAGGCAAAUUGUCCAACCCGGAUCCCAUUCAGUCCUUUGAGAACAUGAAGAUAAAACCAAAACCACCUUGGUUUCAUGUGGUAACAAAAUGGCUUCAACAGUUCCAGCCCUCACAUCCAGUGCUCACAACUAAGAACCACAAGGAGGUGGAUGACGCCAAGAGAUGUUGUGGCCCCUUGCCAGAUGGGGUCAAGGAAGACUGCCCAGUAGAGUUAGAGAAUGGUGAUUCUGACGCAAAAACUUUGGGCGUUCUUGGCUCCAUGGCCUUUGAAUAGAGAACAGAUCUGUUCCCUGGCCCCUACGCCAUGGUAGGAUUUAUGGAG
ensembl:lncRNA